UGCAUGGUUGUCGUCAGCUCGUGUCGUGAGAUGUUGGGUUAAGUCCCGCAACGAGCGCAACCCUUAUUGUCAGUUGCCAGCAUUCAGUUGGGCACUCUGGCGAGACUGCCGUUGACAAAACGGAGGAAGGUGGGGACGACGUCAAAUCAUCAUGCCCCUUAUGUCCUGGGCUACACACGUACUACAAUGGCAAUAACAGAGGGCAGCCAAACCGCGAGGUUGAGCGAAUCCCAAAAUAUUGUCUCAGUUCAGAUUGCAGGCUGCAACUCGCCUGCAUGAAGUCGGAAUUGCUAGUAAUGGCAGGUCAGCAUACUGCCGUGAAUACGUUCCCGGGCCUU
rnacentral:rRNA from 1 species